GACGAACGCUGGCGGCGUGCUUAACACAUGCAAGUCGAACGGAAAGACCCUGCUUUUGUGGGGUGCUCGAGUGGCGAACGGGUGAGUAACACGUGAGUAACCUGCCCUUGACUUUGGGAUAACUUCAGGAAACUGGGGCUAAUACCGGAUAGGAGCUCCUGCUGCAUGGUGGGGGUUGGAAAGUUUCGGCGGUUGGGGAUGGACUCGCGGCUUAUCAGCUUGUUGGUGGGGUAGUGGCUUACCAAGGCUUUGACGGGUAGCCGGCCUGAGAGGGUGACCGGCCACAUUGGGACUGAGAUACGGCCCAGACUCCUACGGGAGGCAGCAGUGGGGAAUAUUACACAAUGGGCGGAAGCCUGAUGCAGCAACGCCGCGUGCGGGAUGACGGCCUUCGGGUUGUAAACCGCCUUCGCCUGUGACGAAGCGUGAGUGACGGUAAUGGGUAAAGAAGCACCGGCUAACUACGUG
rnacentral:rRNA from 1 species